rnacentral:rRNA from 1 species
UACGUAGGGCGCAAGCGUUGUCCGGAAUUAUUGGGCGUAAAGAGCUCGUAGGCGGCUUGUCACGUCGGGUGUGAAAGCCCGGGGCUUAACCCCGGGUCUGCAUUCGAUACGGGCAGGCUAGAGUGUGGUAGGGGAGAUCGGAAUUCCUGUGUAGCGGUGAAAUGCGUAGAUAUAGGAAGGAAUACCAGUGGCGAAGGCGGCCUCCUGGAUCGAUACUGACGCUGAGGCGCGAAAGCGUGGGGAGCAAACAGG